UACGAAGGGGGCUAGCGUUGUUCGGAGUUACUGGGCGUAAAGGGCGCGUAGGCGGUACUUCAAGUCAGGCGUGAAAGCCCCGGGCUCAACCUGGGAACCGCGCUUGAGACUGGAGAACUAGAGUUCGGGAGAGGAUGGUGGAAUUCCCAGUGUAGAGGUGAAAUUCGUAGAUAUUGGGAAGAACACCAAUGGCGAAGGCAGCCAUCUGGACCGACACUGACGCUGAGGCGCGAAAGCGUGGGGAGCAAACAGG
rnacentral:rRNA from 1 species